rnacentral:pre_miRNA from 10 species
AGUUAAGCCAGAGAACAGCUUGUGGAGGGUAAGGUACCAUUGUGUGUUUGUAUAGGAAUACACUAUGAACACAGCUGGUGGUAUCUUGUUCUCUGUGAUGCUUUAGCUACUGCUGCUGC